UGAAAAGUGAAAACCGCAUGGAAUGAUGCCGACCCAACCCAAUCCACCCACACUGAGAGUGCUUCUGUGAGAGAAGAGAAAAGCAAGUAUUUGCCUAACUCUCGGGCAAGUAUUCCACAUAUAUUGUUGUUAGGUGGGCAUGCCAACCAAUGCCAACUCCAGCUCUGGACUUGAAGUUCACAACCCUCUCCAGUCUAUCUGCUACAAGCGUGGCUCGCUUCAGCUCCUCGACCAUGUCUUUCCAAUUGAAUUUGCUUUUUUAUGCGGGAAUCUAAUUUUUUUUUUCUCGAAUCGUAAAUUUUGAUUCUUCUUUAACAGAGAAAGCUCCCUCUCGAGACUGUAUAUCUGGAUAUCCGAAAUGCAUCAGAUGGAUGGUCUGCCAUACAGGAGAUGGUGGUCCGUGGGGCACCAGCUACUGCUAUUGCAGCUGCCCUCUCUCUUGCAGUGGAUGUCUUUAACUUAGACUAUUUUAAUGGAACGCCUGAUGCUGCUGCCUCUUUCUUCUUCAAGAAAUUGGAAUAUCUCGUUACGAGGAAAUUGGUCUGCUUGAAUCUGAUGCCAGCUUGCUAAUCUUGCUUAUUGGGUUAUUAUAUUAGCUGUUUGAAUUGCAAUUGAUAUGGGUUAUCUUGUCUGGAGAUGUUUUGCUUUAUUUUAACUUGAUGUGGUGUUUGCCUAAUUGCCUAAGCUGUUGAAAUGGUAACUUAUUCAAUUGCUUUUAAUGGGAAGUAGCAGAUUAUAGGAUUGUCUUUCAUGUUUUCUCAGCCGACCUACUGCAGUUAAUCUUUCAGAUGCUGCAACAAAACUUAAAGAAGUUAUAUCAAAGGCUGCUGCUACGGCUUCAGAAUGGAAGAAUGUUUCAGGCUUACAUAGAAGCUGCUGAAAUUAUGCUUGAAGAUGAUGUUGCUUCAAACAAAGUAAUUGGUUCUCAUGGAGCAAUUUUUAUUCAGAACCAACUGAAAAACUCUGACAGGCUUUCUAUUCUGACACGUUGCAAUACUGGUAGGUAUGUUUCUCAUCAUCUUGUGUUUGUUUUCCUCAUAUUAUUUUCCGUCCCACAUGGAUAUCUUUCUUGAUUGGCAAAGAAAAUGUGAGGAAGUGUUUAUAGCUCCAAUCUGGGUGCGUUUUGUUUUUUUCAGUCUUGCAACAGCUGGAUAUGGUACUGCUCUGAGAGUGAUUCUUGCACGUCAUACUGAAGGAGUGUUAGAGAGGCCCUAUUGCACAGAAACACAUCCUUUCAAUCAAGGGUUCAGCCAUUAUCUCACCUCCUCAUAUUAUUUAUAAAGUUCAAUUCUUACUACGGGGAUCUAGACUCACAGCUUUUGAGUUGGUGCAUGACAAAAUAACCGCUACUCUUAUAGCAUAUUCUGCUACAGCUGCGUGAAUGAAAGAUGGUCAAGUGAGUGCUGUGAUUGUUGGAGCAGACCGUGUGGCUGCAAAUGGAGAUACUGCUAACAAGAUUGGGACCUACAGCCUAGCCUUAUGCUCAAUGCAUCACAACAUUCCAUUUUAUGUUGCUGCACCAUUGAUUUAUCCCUUUCUUCUGGGAAACAAAUUUUCAUAGAGGAAAGGCCACUUAAAGAAUUUUUAAAUUCACAUGGAGGACUUGGAGAUCAAGUUGCUGCAUCCGGGAUCUCUGUCUGGAACCCAGCUUUUGAUGUUACCCCUGCAAAGCUGAUAAGCGGUAUCAUGACAGAAAAGGAGUCUGCUAAGAUGAGUAAUGGCGAUUUUGACAUAAAGAAUUUUGUACAAGGGGCAACUGGGCAGUCCGUUGCAUAGGAGAGGCAUCUGUUGCUGGGCAGACUGGAUGUGGAUGGUACACAUACGCCAAAGCGGUCAGCAUAUUUUUAAGCAUGUAAUUUAGCUGACAAUAUUAGGGGCUAUACAACUUUUUUGUUAGAAUGCUGGAAUAAGCCUUCUGUAUUGUCUCGCUCUCGAGUAUUUUGGGUAUUUUUUUACAAAGAUUAAGGUUUUUGAUUUGAGGGCACCCAUUUUGCUUACAUCUUAUAUACAUUAAAGAGUGGUCGUAUUUGUGAACCGUGUAUUAGUUUCCCCCUCAUUUGCAGUAUGGAUCUAGCCCAAACUAGGAAUUCUAUAUAGCCUUUCAUUUGACGCACCGAAACAAUAAGGGAUGAUCUGCCCCUUUUUCAUAAUUAUCUACUCCAGCGUUUCUGAAUCGAA